UUUUAAUCUACUCAUAAUGCCAAUAAUGGAUGCCUAGGAGAUGUUGACCGAGGAAGGACGCAUACAGCGGCGAUACUCGUCGGGGAGGUGCUAUAGACCUGUGAUCCGGCGGUUUCCGAAUGGAGCAAUCCAAUCUUGUUAUGCAAGAUUAACCUUACAUAAAGUUAUAGUCGCAAGAUUAUAUAUAGUGUCUGGUGGGGUACGGCGUGAACUGAAACAUCUAAGUAACGCCAGGAAUAUAAAUCAUCUGAGAUUCCGUCAGUAGCGGCGAGCGAAAGCGGAACAGUCUAAACCACAAUUUAUUGUGGUGUUGCAGGGCAGACGAUAUUCGAUGUUAUUGUUUAUAGCAGAAGUGCUCGGAAUAGCACUCCAAAGAACGUGAAAGACGUGUAUGCGAAAUAAAAAGCACCGAUAGUUUGUACCUAAGUACCAUGGAGCACGAUAAAACUCUGUGGGAAUCCGGGACGGCCACGUUCCAAGACUAAAUAUCAACAUCUACCGAUAGUGAACUAGUACCGUGAGGGAAAGGUGAAAAGCACCCCGAGAGGGGGAUGAAAUAGAACUGAAAUUAUUGGCUAACAAGCAGACGGAGCGCAAGUGACGUCGUGCCUAUUGAAGAAUGAACCGGUGAGUUUUUGAUUCCAGCGUUAGUUUAACCAAGAUUAACUUGGGGAGACGAAGUGAAAGCGUGCCCUAACUGGGCGAUUUAGUUGGAAUCAUUAGACCCGAAACUGGGUGAGCUAACCUUGAGCAGGGUGAGUCCUACAUAACUGUGGGAGGAGGCCCGAACCCGUAAACGUAGCAAUGUUUUGGGAUGACUUGAGGUUAGGGGCAAUAUGCCAAUCGAACCCAGAGAUAGCUGGUUCUCCCCGAAAUAUAUUAAGGUAUAGCGCUUUAUAGUAGCAACGUGGGGUAGAGCACUGAAUGGUUCGUGGCUGCGCAAGCGGUUGCAGCCUAUCAAACUCCGAAUACGCGUUGUGCAAGUAAAGUAGUCAGACUCGUCGGGCUAAGCCGAUGGGUCAAAAGGGAAACAGCCCAGAUUCCCAUUUAAGGUCUCUAAAUACAUGCUAAGUUUGAAAGGAAGUCAAAUUCCAUAGACACCCAGGAGGUUGGCUUAGAAGCAGCCAUCCUUUAAAGAAAGCGUAACAGCUCACUGGCGGACGGUGUUUGGCGCCGAAAAUUUAUCGAGGAUCAAGCAUGUUACCGAAAUUGGAAACUGCAUAUUUUAUUUAUAAUAUAUGUUUUGGUAGGGGAGCGUUCUAUUUGCAGUGAAGUCGAAUCGUAAGGUUUGGUGGAGCGAAUAGAAGUGAGAAUGCCGGUAUGAGUAGCGAUAGCACAGUGAGAAACUGUGUCACCGAAAGACCAAGGUUUCCUCCGCAAUGUAAGUCAGCGGAGGGUGAGUCGGCCCUAAGGAUGUUCCUCGUUUAAUUGGGGAGUAGUCUGAUGGAUAAGGCGUUAAUAUUCGCCUACAGUAUAUGUGUAUGUAAGGGGAUGACGGAGUCGGAAGAAUCAAGCCAAUCGCAAGAUUGGUAUAAGCAGUAAGACAGUGGUGGUUGGCAAAUCCGCUACCGCGUUUAAUCGAGCUGUGAUGUAAAGUUCCUUUCGCAAGAGAGGCACAAUUUGAUCAAUUUCAGUUUCCAGGAAAAGUCUCAUUACGCUCGCAAGAGCAAAACGCAUGUGUUACCGUACCGCAUUACCGACACAGGUGGUCAGGUCGAGUAGACCAAGGUGAUCGGGAGAAAUACGUUCCAGGAACUCGGCAAAAAAGCUAGGCGUAACCUAUGGGAGAUGCCUUGCCACAGCAAUGUGGCUUCAACAAAAGUUUACUUAGCAACUGUUUAUCUAAAACACAGGUCCCUGCAAAACCGAAAGGUAAGGUAUAGGGGCUGACACCUGCCCAGUGCUGGUAAGUCAAAUAUUGUGAAUGAUUCACGCAAGUGAUGAGUUUGUGAUAUAAGCUCCAGUAAACGGCAGCAGUAACUAUAACUGUUCUAUGGUAGCGAAGUUCCUUGUCGGGCAAGUUCCGACCCGCACGAAAGGUAGAAUGACUGAGUAACUGUCUUGAACGUAUACCCGGCGAAAUUGAGAUGGCUGUGAAGACGCGGCCUAGUUGUACAUGGACAAAAAGACCCCGGGAGCUUUACUGUAUCUUGGCAUUCGUGAGCUUAUUUUAAUUGUUUAGC
rnacentral:rRNA from 1 species